rnacentral:rRNA from 1 species
GACGAACGCUGGCGGCGUGCCUAAUACAUGCAAGUAGAACGCACAGUUUAUACCGUAGCUUGCUACACCAUAAACUGUGAGUUGCGAACGGGUGAGUAACGCGUAGGUAACCUGCCUGGUAGCGGGGGAUAACUAUUGGAAACGAUAGCUAAUACCGCAUAAUAUUGAUUAUUGCAUGAUAAUUGAUUGAAAGAUGCUAUUGCAUCACUACCAGAUGGACCUGCGUUGUAUUAGCUAGUAGGUGAGGUAACGGCUCACCUAGGCGACGAUACAUAGCCGACCUGAGAGGGUGAUCGGCCACACUGGGACUGAGACAAGGCCCAGACUCCUACGGGAGGCAGCAGGAGGGAAUCUUCGGCAAUGGACGAAAGUCUGACCGAGCAACGCCGCGUGAGGGAAGAAGGGUUUCGGAUCGUAAAGCUCGGUUGUAAGAGAAGAACGGGUGUGAGAGUGGAAAGUUCACACUGUGACGGUAUCUUACCAGAAAGGGACGGCUAACUACGUG